rnacentral:tRNA from 1 species
ACUUGAGUAAUUUAAUUAAAAAUAUUAGUUUGUGGAACUAAUUAUAUAUCUAUGUAUAUCUUGAGUU